UUUUUUUUUUUUUUUUUUAUCAAUGUAGGCAAAUUUCACAUAUAAAUGACAUAAAUAAACAAGUUUGAAAAAAAAAAUGAAAAUAGACAAGUCGUGUAGUUCAAACAUGACUUCAAAUGAAAAAGUUGUGUUUCUUGCACGACUUCCACUCCAAAACCCUUGAAAAGUGAAAAUCUUCAACCCCUCCAAUAACUUUAAUGUGAUGUAAUCGAUUACAAUACAUAUGUAAUUGAUUACACUAAACUAAUUUGAAUUGAAAUUCAUUUUAGUGCAAAAUAACUUCCAAUUUGAGAAUUAAACAAUAUUAUAUACAAAUGUCAAGUGUCAAAACUAGAAUUGAAAUAAAUAGUGAGAGAGCUCGAAAAACACGAUUCAGAACUAAAAAGAUGAACUCAACCAAAUUUUAAAAGCUCGACCAAGGUGAUGUUAAACUCGGCCGGGAUGAUUUUAAGUUCGGUCAGGUUGAUGUUAAGCUUUGCAGAGCUCGACUCGAUUUCACUAAGUUCGAUCAGAGUUUAUACAGGUCGAACAAACUCAUACUAGUUUGUUCGUACUUCCAUAAAGUCUGAUGAACCUUAGUAUAGUCCAAUCGAGCUCAAUAUCUUUCCUGUCAAGCUUAACAUCAACCCAACUAAGCUUAAAAGUAGUCGGCUAAGCUUAACAUCACUUUAGCCGAACUCCUAAAAUCUAGUCGAGCUCAUCUUUUAAGUGUAUGAUCGUGUUGUCUGAGUUCUCUCUGUUAUUAUUUAUUUCAAUUUUGAUUUCUCCUUCCUUAGUAAUCAAUUACAAGUAUCAUGUAAUUGAUUACACUGCCUAUUAUCCAAUUGAAAGUCAUCUUAAAUCAAAAUGAGUUUUAACUCAAAUUAAAAAUCAACUUAAUGUAAUCGAUCACAUAUGUAUUUAAUCGAUUAAAUCACAUUGAUGAAAGUCAUAUGAGAACUAUACGAAUUGGUCUAUUUUCAUAAUUUUUUUUUUCAAAUUUAUCUAUUUUUGUAAUUUAUUGGUAAAAUUUGUUAAUGUCAAUAAGAAAAGCCCAAAUAUGAGCACAAAAAUAAAUCAUUAUUCGUUUUAAACUUAGUCGAUUCCAUAGAAUAUUUUUCACUCGAUACCUUCAUCCUUUUAUAAUGUCUGAAAUGUUUUGCAGCUUGUGUUGCCUGCCAUGUAUGAUAGUUGCAACCAGAUGAUGAAGGAAUGGAAGAUGUUAGUGUGCGAAACAGGAUCAUGUGUGGUAGAUGUCUGGCCAUUCUUAAACAACUUGACAGCUGAUGUGAUUUCUCGUACAGCUUUCGGAAGUAACUAUGAAGAAGGAAAAAUAGUAUUUCAACUCCUAAAAGAACAAGCUCAACUUACAUCCAAGGUCUUUCAAUCUGUUUAUAUUCCAGGGUGGAGGUAUAUUAUUAAAUUACACUUUUUUAUUGUCAACUUUUUAUUCAACAACACGCAUGUUUGUACUUCAAUAUUUCAACCCUAUAGAUAAUAAUUAAGGUUUCAUGCAAAACUAAAACUGUUUGAAAAUUCAUUUGGACUUUCUAAACUAUAAAUCUCUCUUUGUAAAAGAGGACUUGAGAAGUAAUAUGAUGAUUCAUAUUUAAUUGAACUUAAUUUAGUUUUCAAAUUAAAAAUACCUUGAUAUGAUAUGGUUUUAGGAUUUCAAAUUAGAGCAUUUAGUUUCCAAUUUUGUUCUCAGUAUUAGAUUUAUUUUAUAAUUUUGUUCUCAGUUAUUGUUUCUUAUUUUUUAGAUAUUGAAUUAAAAAUAUUUCAUGUUUCUUAAUAUUUAGAGGAGACAAGUAUUUAACUAAAUUUUCAAAUUAGAGUAUUUUGUGUCCACUUUUAUUCUCGUUUUAGGAUUUAUUUUAUGAUUUUGUUUUAUUGAAUAAGUCAGUUAUUGUUUCUUAUUUCUUAUAUAUUGAAUUAGAAAUAUUCCAUGUUUCUUAAUAUUUAGAAAGACAAUUAUUUAACUAAAAAAAUAUUAAAAACAAAUAAGGUUAAUUUUUCUUUAGUUGAUAUUUAAUAAAGUUAAGUUUUAAUAUUAGCUUAAUUUGCGUCAGUUAUUUGGGUAAGUUAUUAACCAAACAAAUGAUAAUAACUUAAAAAAAACAACUAUACAAUACUCUCAUAUGGUGCAUUAAGGAGAAAUGACAACGUUUAUUUUCGCUAAUAGAUACCGAUUCCUGAACCGAGACAUAUUCUGACAAGGUAAAAAGUGGUAGACUUUAUGUCUCGGUUUUGAACCGAGACAUAAAAUGGUAAAAUUAUGCCUCGAUUCCUGAUGAACCGAAGUCGUUUCCCCCUCUACUGCCUCGGUUGAAACCUGAACCGAGGUAGCAGAGUCUUUUUUUUUUUUCUUCUUCUUCUUUAGCUAGUCAUAUUGAAGAUUAUUCUAAUCCAAUAUGCAUAUUCAUGUAAAGGAGCAAGAGUUGAUAUGUGAAUCAACAUGAACGUUUCAAUCACUCAAAAGCUUCUACAUUUCGAGCUUCUGGUCAUGAGUGAGGUCGUCUGGGAAUGUGAUUUUGAACUUUAUCCUUAAGUUUCGCUUCUUUAUUGGAUCCCUUGGGAUAGGCAUUCCUUCUCUUUCAACAACCUCUUCAUAUUCAGGAUGAAUAAUUUGGUCGAUAGGCAUAGUUAAGUUUCUUCCAUCAAGGGUGACCAGGUUAACAGUGCACCCUGUCAAGGCUUCCACAAGAGAUAUCUUCUGGGUCACCACAAGGUCCUUUCCGUCUCUUGUAUAAACUCUGUGAAGUUUUUCAUAUACAAAGAGAACAAGAUCAGCAGGUCUGUGUUGUUCUAGGUCACCUCCUUUCUCCAAAUACGUAAGCUUGGUGCCCUUCUUCCAACCACGCUGCACUUCCACUAUCAAUACCUCUUCCACCAGCUUACUAGUGCCCUUCUUCCAACCACACUGCACUUCCACUAUCAAUACCUCUUCCACCAGCUUACGUUGCCUGCAUCCACAAGGAAACAAAUCAAACAACAAACUAGGAAAUUAUGAAGACUAAGAAGGGAAAUUCAUCACGCUAAGGAUAACAAGUUUUUACAGUGUUAAAUAAUUACCAAAAGCUUCUAGUCUUUUUUUUGUCAUUUCAAAAGUUAAGAAGCAAAUGCUUCUCAGUAAGACAAACAAUCACCAUUUUUUUCAUUUAAAUCACUCUUAACACUUAACCAUACAAACCAAAUGGCUUCGCCGCCACCGUUACGCUAAACAUCGUCGGAUCAGACACGGACAGUGCGUUCCGAACCAUCGCUUCAAGUUCCCUAAAGCCCCCGUCCCCGCGCAGUUCGCCUCUGUUACAGAGCCUCAGUCCCAACAUUCUCAUCAUCGUCACAGUCCUCGCCGUCAUCGUUAUUGUUUCUCUCGCACUCUACUUCCUCCUCCGCCACCUCAAUCACCGCUUCUCCUCCGCCGACGCGCUUUCCGCAUCCGCCUCUGCCACGCCGAUAUUCUCCUCCAGCCGCCACAUCUCACUGAAGAUUGUCCACUCCUCAUCCACCACCGUCGUCACUGCCUUAGUCAUCGACACGCUGCCGUUAUUCACGUUCUCCUCCGUCACGCGCUGCUCUUCCUCUACCGUGCCGAACAAUAAAAUGCUUGAGUCCCAACAACAACGCGACAUGUUCAACGCUAGCUUCCAAAACUAGGCCAGGGCCAUGGAAACCUACACGACCCAAUUCAAGCGAGGAAGAAAAUGCAGGUUCCAUGGCCAAAGAGAAAAUGCAGGUUUGGGGUGGAAGAAAGAAGUGCACAGUCUAGGGUAACAUCUUAGGCGAAAGUAAGAAUUUUAAAAGAAGAUAAUGCUUCGGUUAUUUUUCCCUAUACGUCGCGGUUUAAGAAGAAUGUUCCCACCGCUCGGUUUAGGACGAAAGUGAGAGUUCACGAAGAAUGUUCCCCACCGCUCGGUUUAGGACGAGAGUGGGAGUUCCCAACUGCUCGAUUUAUGACCAAGGAUUCUCGGAGAGUGUUCCCUUGGUUUUGUAAUGUUGCGACACAACCAGUGGUUGAAUAAGAGUGGUCCGACUUUAUUAGAAUCGUAAACAUAUGUCUUGUCAAAAGAAAUUAUUCAAAACAAAAUACCACAUCAAAACUCAAUUAACCUGAACAUGAAAAAAAAACCACUUUCCAAUUUAAAAAGGACUUUUUAUUAUGCCACUUAGUUGAUAUGUCCUUGAAUCGAGCGGUCAGGGCUGCAAAUGUGACUGCGGUUGUGCCUUCGUUCAUCUCUUCCAUAUGGUUGUUCGACUCUGCUCCAUGGCACCUAGAUGGGCUCUUUAACGUCGUCCCCUCUUUCUUCACAUAUUUACGGAGAUGGCCCGCAUGAAUGAGUGCUUCGAUUUUAUCCUUAAGUGUUGCACAAUUUUCAGUGAUGUGCCCCAUGUUUUGAUGAUAUUGGCAAUACUUUCCUUUGUCAGCAUUCUUAGGCUAAUGAAUUCUCUUGACCGAAAGAAGUUCAACAUUAAGAGCUUCCCUAAGGAUCUUGGCCUUAGGUGCAUUAACAGGUAUGUAGUAAUCAAACUUAAGUUCUCGGUGGAAGUCCUUUGGUUGAGAACUCCCUCCCCUGUCAUUGAACGACCGUCGUCCAUCCUUCCUACCCCCUCCCGCAUCAACUUCUUGUUGUCUUCCUUGUGAGAUUCGCAUGUCUUCAAUGCGGAUGAACUCAACUACUCUCUCUUGGAGCUCGUCCAUGGUUUUUGGUGGACGAGCAUACAACUUUUCAUCAAAGUAUCCUGGCCUUAGGCAUGAAGGCAAAUUGUUGAUGAUGAAAGAAUGAUUAACAUCUUUGACUUGCCGAGCGGUUUCAGUGUACCUCUUCAUAAACGCCUUCAAAGUCUCUCCUUUCUCCUGCUUAGUAUUCGCCAAUUUUGCCGGUGUUAUCUCCUGCUUCAUGUUGGAGGAGUAUUGCCUUCUGAAGAGGGUUUCCACAGUGGCGAAGUAAUCUACAAAAUUUGGAGGAAGAGUAUUAUACCACUCCAACGCCUUGUCCUUGAGUGAUAAUGAGAAAGCUCUACAAAUGACUGAAUCAUUGUCCGUGUAAAAUGCCAUUGCGUUGGUGAAGAUUUCAAGAUGAUUGUUAGGGUCCGCCGAGCCAUCAUACUUCUCUAACACAAGGGGACUCUUUUCUAGCAUGGGAGUUUGCAUAAUAUUCACCGUAAAGGGGAGUAAACUGGUGGGCCGAACGGUUUGUAGAGGAACCGACUGUCCUCUUUCAUUGUCGUCUGGAUUACCAUGCGGGUUACCGUUUGGGUUAGCAUGCUGAUUACCGUUUGGGUUAGUACGUUGGGAUGUCUGGCGACCAUGAUUUUCAUUCUCGUGGUGUUGAUUUUGGUGUAUAGUUGACACCGAGUGCUGAGUAGACUGCUCAUGAUGACCCAGCUCCACCCUUAAAGCUGCAAUUUCCUCGGCAUGCUUCUACUGCAUCUCUCGCUGCGCUUGUGUGUGCUCUUGUAUGAUUCAUGUCUGUGCCUGUAAUUGUGCCUGCAUUUGUGCCAUGAGAUCUCUGGUACUUUGCUGCUCCUCCCUACUCCUUGUGGUCACCAUUUCAGCUUACUUCGGGAAUUAACUAUGUGUAGUCUGAGCGUUCGUCUUAGUUCCUUGUGUUUUCAAUGGGAUGCCCUUUCAAGGCCCAGGGUGGUCGUCAUUUAUGUUUUGGUGGAAUUGGUCCAAGGGUCGAUUGACCUUCCUUCUCUGCUAUCUUUCGAUCGUUUUAAUACUUUCUGAGAACACAAUCCUCCGAUGGGUGGUUGACCUGUAAAAAACUCUCCGACGCUCAAGCCAGACAAUCGAAUUCAAUAAUACCUGUUAAUUGUCCAUUAAUAUCAUAUUCUUAUGCAAUAUGACAUGUCAAUCACUCAUAAAUAGCGUAUAUUCACAUUUAAUAUGGCCAUUAAACAUAUUAAUUGACCAUAAAUGAUUUUUAUCUUUUGUCUGACCACCGAUCGGUUGCCUGUUUUGGCCCCGGAUUCUUCUUAGUCGACCGGUCACCGGGGUAUAGUACAGAUUUCAAUUAUCUAUGUUUAAAUUUUUAUAAUUUUUUGUACAUGAAUUUGUUUCAUUCUUCCAUAUUUUUUUUAUCUUACUUAUUUUCUUUAUUAAUAAUUAUUUUACUUAUUUUAUUUAUUAAUAAAUUUUUGCAUAUGAUUGUUGUGUUUUAGGAUAUAAGCAUGACUGCGAUGAUAGUAUGAAUUUAAUAAAAAAAAGUAAGCAAAAGAAAAUAAGAAUGCUAAAUCAAAGAUUCGAAGUUAACAUCAUCAUUAUUCCCUUUUCCAUUGUUAGGUUUGUACCAACGAAAUUGAACAAGAGGAUGAAGAAGAUUGACUAUGAAAUUGGAAAUGUACUUCGUGGAAUUAUCCAAAAGCAAGAGGGUAUUAUGAAAACAUGCAAAGCUUCCAGUGAUAAUCUAUUAGGCUUACUAUUGGAAUCAAAUCAAAACGAGAUUGAAGUUGGAUUACUUAAGAAAGAUGUUGGAAUGAACACCAAUGAUGUAAUUAACGAGUGUAAGGUAUUUUACUUUGCCGGACAAGAAACAACAUCGGUGCUACUAAAUUGGACGAUGGUGUUAUUGAGUAGAUUUCCCAAAUGGCAAACACUAGCAAGAGAAGAAGUCAUUGAAAUUUUUGGCACAAAAGAACCAGAUUAUGAUGGAUUAAAUCGUCUUAAAGUUGUAAGUAUCAGUUUUUAUGUUGAAAUCAUUUUUAUGACUGAGUUAAAAAUAUAAUUUUAGAAUAAUUAUAAACUUUAUGUUAAAACGGUAUAGCUUAACUUGAAUACAAUAUUAUUUUUUAUCAACAAAAGAAUAAACUAUAUUUAUAAAAGAAUAUUUGGAGUAUUCUGAUCCAUUUAUAUUUCUUAUACCAAUAAAAAAAGUCUCUUUAGUGCAUAUUCUUGCACAAUCUAUACUACAUAGAGUUUUCUCAUCAAAACCUAAAUGAUAUGCCUGCAUACAACAUUCAUCGAUGGAUUAUUAUUGAUGAAACUUCAUCUCAUUAAUGAAAGCUUUAAUAUCUUAAUGUUUUUUAUUAUUUUCAUUUCAAUUCAACUAAUUGAUGUUUCUGGUUGAAAAAUUUAAGUAUGAGUCUAAAUCUCAUAUUGAGUAAAAGUAAGAAAGUUGAGUAUAUAUUAUGAUAAAGAGUCAAAAACUCAAUGUUUUAAGAUUUUGAGUUGAAGGUGUUAUUGAUUCUUUAUGUAUAGAUUGUGCUUAUAUCUUAUUGGUGUUAUAUUUCUCUGAUGAUCUUUCCUUGAAAAUCCUAUUAGAGGUAUUAAAAAUAAAUGUUUGUCUAGAUGGGUAGCAUAGACGAGUCUUUGUAGCAAUAGUCAAUUUGAUAGAGGAUCAGACAAAGGAGUCUUGUUAUGAUAAACGACAAUACAAGUAAGGAUACUUGUAGUUAAGCUCGAAUGAGAAAUACCAAUGUGAAGAGACUUACAUUUUAUAAAGAGAUUGUUGAGAAAUCCAAAUGUGAGUCUAAGUCUAACUUUAAGUAAAAGUGAGAAAGUGGAACAUCAUACAAAGAUGAAAAUCCAUAUACUCUUUUUUUUUUAAAUUUUGAAUUGAAGAUAGUAUCAAUAUUUUAUGUGUAAGUUGAGUUUAUGUUUAAUUGGUGUAGUAUCUCAUCAAUGUUCCUCUCUUGAAAAAUUCAUCAUUUACUUACUACCGCACCUCAUUCAACUUUUUGUUUAAUUUAUUAUCCACUAAAAAAGUUGAGACAUUGAUACUAUGUUUUUAAACUUUUAAAACUAAAUGUCUUGCAUUUGAAAGAAUGUUACUAAUGUUAAGUCAUGAUAGUUUUUUUUUUUUUUGGCAUUGACAUAGGUGACAAUGAUUUUGUAUGAGGUUUUAAGAUUAUACCCACCGGCUACUGCUAUUACAAGAGUCAUAAGGAAAGAAACUACAAUUGGAAACAUGAGCUUACCAGCAGGAGCACUAGCUACUAUUCCAAUUGUGUUGGUACAUCAUGAUUUUGAAUUAUGGGGAAGUGAUGCAAAAGAGUUCAAACCAGAAAGAUUCUCAGAAGGAAUCUCAAAAGCAACAAAUGGUAAAGUUUCAUUUAUCCCAUUUGGAUGGGGUCCUCGAAUAUGCAUUGGCCAAAACUUUGCUUUGCUUGAAGCCAAAAUGGCUUUGUCUCUCAUUCUGCAAAACUUCAAGUUUGAACUAUCUUCCUCCUAUGUUCAUGCUCCAAUUACAGUCAUAACUGCUCAACCUCAAUUCGGCACGCACCUUAUAUUACAAAAAUUAUAGUUUGUUAGCCUAAGAAAGGUUUUUAAUGUUUUUCUAUCUUAUGUUUUAUGGCUUCUUCCUAGGACAUGUGACUUGCAGAAAACAAAAUCUUAUUGCAAGAUUCAAUAAAAUUUCUUCAUAUAUUUGUCUUUUUUAUAUGUUUUUAUAUAAAAAAUUAUAUAGGAUGGUUUUUCCUUAAUUAUAUUAAACUUCAAUAUUUAUAAUUUAGUUUUUGGGAUAAAACUUGUUCCAUAUACAUGUAUUAUAUAUUUGUGCAUUGAAGACUUUGGAUAUAUGGAUUGUUCAUGACGAAGAAAAAGAGAUGUCUUGUUCACUUGAAGGGAUUUGGGAAGAGUAAUUGAAUGGAUUUGAGAGGAUUUGAAGAUAACUUUUUUUUUUUGUUUAUUUGAGUGAAUUUGGAGGUAAGUAAAAGUGAAUUUAAAAGUAAAGUUUGUGAGAAUUAGUAUAUGAUUUAAUUUAUGUGACAAAUUAAAAAAAUUUACUUCCAAAUUCACUUUCACUUUCCUCCAAAUCCACUCAAAUAAACAACAACAAAAAUUAUCUUCAAAUCCUCUCAAAUCCAUUCAAUUACUCUCUUACAAAUCCCUUGAAGUGAACAAGGCAUAGUGAUCUGAAGUCAAAGAUUGGUGAAGAAAAACUUUUAUAAAGUAAAGAUUUUUUGUUGUAAACUUGAUUUGUAUUGUUGGAUCAAUUGUUAAGCUAGAAAGAUUCUUAAAGUGAUACAAAUCAAGUUAAAUUAAUCACCUCCUAUCACCCCCAAGUAAAUUCAAUUUAAAUUAAAAAUCAAGUAAUAAAUUAAAUUGUGCUUUAAUCGAUUAAAAUAUUCGUAAUUUAAUGGAAAAUGUUUAAAAAACAUUUUUAGUCAAUUAAAGUACCAAAUUAAUCCAUUAAAAUCACUUAAAACUCAAAACUAAACUUGUCACUCUCUUUUAGUCUAAUAAAACAACUUUAAGUCUCAUAGUUAUUUUAAUUGAUUAUAACAAUGGAUUAGUCAACUAGACUAAUAGACAAUAGUUUUGACAUUAAAAUGUCAUUUUAAUAUAAUAUAAAAUCCUAAGAGCUUCUUUCAAAGCUCUCUUUCAAUUUAUUAAAGUAGUUUUAAUUAUUAAAGCUAUCAAAUAUUGAUUAUAUAUCUCUCUCAUUUCUAAAUAAAACUUAAUAAAUUAAUUAUCGCUUUUUAAACACACUUUUUCUUCAGAGAGAAACUCAAGAUUGAACUAGACCUAUCUUUUUGAACUCUUCUUUCUUGAACCUCGCGAUUAAUAAUUAUAGGAACGAGAGAACACAAACAGCAACACACAAAUGUUUUCUAUUGACAGUGAAUACAAACAAAGUUAUCUCUCUUAUUGAUUGGUGUGCAUGGUCUGAUAUAUAUAUAUAUAUAUAUAUAUAUAUAUAUAUAUAUAUAUAUAUAUAUAUAUAUAUAUAUAUAUAUAUAUAUACGCAGUAGCAACGAUAAUAACAGAAAAACUGAAAAAACAGAACUCUUAAACUAAAACACGUAUAAUAUUUGAAUUACAACAGCUAUCACUCUCCCUUAAUUCAAAUAUGAAAGUGAAACAACUCCAAUCUUUUUCCUCAUGGCUUCAAACUUUUCUACUCUUAAAGGCUUUGUAAACAGGUCUGCCCAUUGAUCUGUGGUCUUGCAGUAGAAUAACUCAAUUUUCCCUUUGCUCACGACUUUUCGCAGGAAGUGAUACUUCACUUCAAUGUGCUUGCUUCGUUUAUGACUUACUGGGUUUCUGGCCAAAUUUAUCGCAGAAGUGUUGUCCACCCUUAGUUCUAUUGAAUUUCCUGUCGCUAUCUUCAGUUCAGCAAGUAACUCUUCAAGCCAAAUCCCUUGACAAGCUACAUGACACCCUGCCACAUAUUCUGCUUCGCAGCUGGAUAUAGCAACGAUUGACUGCUUCUUAGAUGACCACGACACUGGUGCUCCAUUCAAGAAGUAGAUAAACCCUGAAGUACUCUUGCUUUCAAGCUUAUCUCCUUCGUAGUCUGAGUCGUAGAAUCAUGCAAGCUUUAAGCAGGUGCUCUGGCUUCCAUAUGGGAAUAGAUUCCAUAGUUUGUUGUACCCUUGAUGUACCUUAAAAUGCGUUUUGCACAAUCCAUGUGACUCUUUCCUGGUUGACACAUAAAUCUACUUAUCGGACCAACACUAAACAUCAAUUUAGGCCUGCUAUUGCACAAAAACUCAGGGAUCCAACAAUCUGCUUGAAUCGCGUUUCAUCUGCUUUUUCUUCAGCUUCAUUCUUUUCCAGUUUUGCGUUUGCUUCCAGAGGACUCCUAGCUGCAUUGCAUUGAUGCAUCUGAAAUCUUUCCAGCAGCUCCUUUGCGUAUUUUGCUGAUGCAUUAUAAGCCCUUUCUCAGAGUGUGUAAACUCCAUUCCCAGAAAGUAGCACAACUCACCCAAGUCCGUCAUUACGAAGUCAGACUUCAUCAUUUCCUUGAACUUGUUCAUGUCUUCUGGAUUUGAUCCUGUUACAAGAAGGUCAUCUACAUAUAAACAAAUAGUAAGCAGAUUACCUUCUAGAGUCUUCUUUACAUAAACUCCAUGUUCAACCUUGCAUCUUUCGAAUCCGUGUUGCAGCAGAGAUGAAUGGAUCUUCUUGUUCCAUGCUCUGGGUGCCUGACGCAAACCAUAAAGUGCCACUACAAAAAAAAAAACUUAUUUAGAGGGGUUUUUUUUUUCAAUUUGCGGGGGUUUUUACCCUCCGCUAAAUAAAUUCUGGGGGUUUUUCAAACCCCCGCAGUUUGAGUCGCCACAAAUUAUCUGCGGGGGGUUUUUUCGCCCCCUGGUAUCAUAUUCAAUUUGCGGGGGUUUUUCUGCGGAGGGUAAAAACCUCCUCUAUAUAUUCAAUUUGCGGGGGUUUUUCUGCGGAGGGUAAAAACCUCCUCUAUAUAUUCAAUUUGCGGGGGGUUUUCGGCGGAGGGUAAAAACCUCCUCUAUUACUGACUAUUAUUNNNNNNNNNNNNNNNNNNNNNNNNNNNNNNNNNNNNNNNNNNNNNNNNNNNNNNNNNNNNNNNNNNNNNNNNNNNNNNNNNNNNNNNNNNNNNNNNNNNNNNNNNNNNNNNNNNNNNNNNNNNNNNNNNNNNNNNNNNNNNNNNNNNNNNNNNNNNNNNNNNNNNNNNNNNNNNNNNNNNNNNNNNNNNNNNNNNNNNNNNNNNNNNNNNNNNNNNNNNNNNNNNNNNNNNNNNNNNNNNNNNNNNNNNNNNNNNNNNNNNNNNNNNNNNNNNNNNNNNNNNNNNNNNNNNNNNNNNNNNNNNNNNNAAAAAAAAUUAAUAAAAUAAACUCAAUUACAUGUACUCACAUUUUGUAAAUAAUAUAUAAAAAAAAUAAUCAAAUAGAAUUCAGUUUUAAAAGUCAUUAUUCAAAUUUUCCUUGGCNACUGCANUUACUACUUUACACCAUAUAUAAAAUGCAAUGGACCAAUACUUCUCACACUAUGCAUAUAAAUCUUAUUGCAACAAUCAAUAAAGCUAACUAUGACACAGACAGAUACCAAAAGCCAAAGCACUAACUAAAUUCCAUUUUCGUUGGACAUUAUUGCAUAGCAUGGGAAGAACUGUGGUCAAUAACCUGCAACUGACUGCGAAGAUUUUGACUGUGGGAUAACUACAUUUCAUCUGAAUCAUGUAACCAAACACACAUCGAUCCAAGCAUACCAUAAAACAAAUAGGCACUGCAUACUAAUGAAUACAAACAUGAUAUAUAACAAAUAAGCACUAAACUAUAAUUGUACAAUUCAAUAAUUGUUAAACACUGUCAAUUCAAUAACAAAUUGUGUGGAAAAUGAUUCAAUACCACGUAACAAUCAUUUAAGCAAGUCAACAGUAGUGAUACAUCAGUGUGGAUGUUUCAGUAUCAUUCUUCUUUGUAAUUCUCAUUUAGUUGGAACAUUGUCAUUUGAUUUUUUUUUUUGUUUCUAAGAACCAUUUUUAGUUCUCUAUUAACAUGUGAAUAAUUCUCCCCCGCACAUAAAUGUAAAUUCUAAGUUUUCUUUGUCUGCUGUUUUAGUUUGCUUUUACUGGUAUGCUGUUACUUUUGCAUUUCUUCUCUGUUUUAGUUAGCUAGGAUUAGAUACUAGGUCUAUUCUUAGUUUUGAUUUCAUAUCUGGUUAUCUUUUAGUUGGAUUCACUGUUUAGUAAUUGUUUUCUUAUUUUCGUAGAUGUUCAAGCUUAUUUUGCUGUUUUUGGGAAUAGUAGUUUCUUUCUGAUGUUAUUUUAAAUUAUAAUUAACUCUUCAUUUGUUGUGUUUAGUUUUCUUUAUAUUUUAGAUAGUCAUAAGUAUUUUUAAAUCUAUUUUCUGUCUUACCGAAGUAGUUUAAAUAGUUUUUAAACUUUGUAAUUGGUAGGUUUAGAUUUUAGUAAUUUCUAUUAAAUGGUUUAAUUAAGAUAUUUUUUGUAGUAGUUUUUGAUCUGGGUGAUUACUUUUUGCUAUAAGUAGGAGUUAGUUUAGUUUAUUUUAGUUUUGAAUUUUAUUUUACAAAUUAGUGUUACUAACCAAGCUUUUUCUCUGGCAAUACUAACAGUUUCAGUUGUUCUAAUUUUCUAUGACUAACAUUUUUUUGCUUCCUUAGUCAGUUAUUUAACUUUACUAACUCUGUUUUGCUGAGUUAUUUCAGUUCACUAACUCUGUUUUGGAAGGUGAAUAUGUUAAUGACUUAACUCUUUACAAAAGUAAAUUGUUUAAUAAUAAGUGUUUUUUUUAGUUGGGGUUAGUGUAGAGAUGAUAGAGAAAAUGUUUGAGUGAGAGAGAUGAAGAAGAAAGGGUUGAGAGGAAUGAAGAAGGUGAGUAAGGGUUUGGGGUUUCUUUUUUUAAUUUUGAGAAUGAAAAUUAUUAAAAUAAAGCAAGUGUUUCUGAUUUUUUUUCAAUUGGGGCUAGAGUAGGGAUGAGAGAAAAGGUUGGAAUGAAAGAGAUGAAAGAGAAAGGAUUGAGAGGAAUGAGAGAGGUGGGUAAGGGUUUGGGGGUAUCUUUUUUUAUUUUUUUAAUUUUGAGAAUGAAAAUUAUUAAAAUUCCCUUAACCUUAAAACUUAGAAUUCAUGAUGUAUAAGGAUAUUUUUGUCUACUGAAACUCGGUACACAUUGCUAAAAUGUACCAACUGAAAAANNNNNNNNNNNNNNNNNNNNNNNNNNNNNNNNNNNNNNNNNNNNUAUAUAUAUAUAUAUAUAUAUAUAUAUAUAUAUAUAUAUAUAUAUAUAUAUAUAUAUAUAUAUAUAUAUAUAUAUAUAUAUAUAUAUAUUAGCAACAAUAAAAACAGAAAAAGUGAAAAACCAUAACUCCUAAACUAAAACACGUAUAAUAUUUGAAUUACAACAACUAUCAAUAAUACCUUAAAGUAUAGAUAGUUGAAAGUAUUGGAAGUGUCAAAAAGACUCAAACCAUGAUAGGGGGACAUUAGAAAAAUAUGUGAAGUUGAGUGAGAGGGGAUAAAAAGAUUAUUAGCUUGUUAAGUAAUAUAGGAUGAAAGAGAGGUUUAGAAAAAAAAAAAGUUUUGGAUUGAUAAGUCAAUCGAAGAAAUAUUUCUAAAAGAGACAUUUUUAGAAGAACGUAUACACUAAGAUAUUUCACAUAUUGGAAUGAAGACUCGUGGCUUUUGAUGUGUGCCUUGGAGAAGAUAGUGGUUUGAGUGAGAGAGGCUAUGUUAAUCAAACUGGUGAAAGAGAUAGAUGGGAGUAUUUUAUAUAAAGACAAGGAAGAUGGAUAUGUAUAUGGAAAAGGGUGAAGAAACACAAGUUUAUAAUGUGAAUCAACAUAUAGAAAAUUAAAAUUAUGAAGGCUUUAGGUAUGAUGUCUUUUUUGGAAAACUAAAGCUUUACCCUUAUCUCAACAUUUUGCAUGGCGAAUAAUAAUAAAUAAAGUGGUCAUUUUUAAUAAUAAUAGGAAAAUUGAGGUGGCAAGUACAAGGCCUGUCAUGUGGUUUUCAUGAUGAAUUGAUAAGCCAUCUAAUUUUCAAUUGUAAUAUGGACACAAACAUGACACAUGUGUGACUUUUGGGUAGCAACACUAUAUAUAAAAAUAGGGCAAACAUACAUGUUUGGUCCCAAUUGUUGGUUUAAAUUUUCAACUGAGUGUGGUGAAUUAGUUAUAAUACAAACAAGAUCGUAUUCUUAGAGAUUUAUUUCAAUAAUAUAGUGAUUUAUACCCUAUUCAAAUUUGAAGUAUGUAUAAUUCACAAUAUAUCUAAUUUUACUUUUGUUAUACAAUAUAUAACUAGUUAGAGACUUCUGCAUAUCCAUUCUUUUUAACUUGUAUUAAGAAAAUUAAUAUAGUUAUUAUUAUAUUUAAAUAAGUAAAAUAUUUAUAUAAUUAUAUUCAAGUGUUAAUUAUGUAUUUAUAUUAAUAUAAUAUUUAGAUAAAAAGUUUGAUAAUAUAAUUAGAAAGUGGGUUUAGAUAUAACUCAACUCCACAAAACCAGCUUCUAAGGUGAGGUUUACCUUUAUCUCUAGUCGAUGUGAGACUUUCAACAAAUAUAAAAAAUUUUAAUACAUCAUUUAGUCCCUAAUUUGGGACAAUGUGUUCAAAGUGGUUUUAUCUUUUUCGACAGUUCACUAUUGUCCCAUAUUUUGUAAAAACGGUUCAAGUUUGUCCUUUGGGCUUACGACGUUAAAAACAUAACGGUGUAAUUGUCUUCGUGGCCAAAAGUGAAUGAGGUGUCUAGUUUUGUAAUAUGUGGCACGUUGAGGUCAAUAGAGAUGUAAAUUUUAAAAAUAAAAAUUAAUAAUGAGGAAAAGAUUUAACAUAGGGUUAAAUGAAAUGUGGUUGUACCUUUUUGCUACUGUUGUUGUGUGCCAUGACUAAUUGUGGGGUGGAGAAAGUGAAGAAGUUCCCUUCUCCUUCACCAUGCCCAUCAUCUACCUUUUCUUCACCUUCAUCAUCACCAUAAACCUCUAUUCUUUUAACACAAACAUUAUCACAUCUCACAUGUACAAAUAGAAAAACAACAAUCCAUUACCCCUUUCUUCAUCCCGAACCCACACUCAACACACCAUUCCAGCACCAUCAUUUUUCAAGUUCAACGCAUACAUAAUAACACUCUCGAAACCCACACAGUCAUCAUCCAAAAUCUCCAUUCUUUUUUCCUUCCUCCUUUGUCCAUUCACGCACACAUAAAGAAUACAAAAAACAAAGGGGAGUCACCAUUCCACCACCACCCAACACAUUGAACGCUGGAAUCACAAAACAAUUAAAAACUGGGAGCAAGGUAAGAAGAAAUCCCAAAUUGCAAGAUAAUGAACACCAAAACCUAAAACGCGAAAUCAACACAAGAAAAGGAAACCCAAUUCGCAAACAAAGAAAAGAAUUCCAAAAUGUAAAAAUCAACCAGGAUUCAAAAUCUUAAUCUGAAGUUCCCAAAAUUUGCAAGAUCUGAAACACAAGAAAAGGAAACCCCAAAACGCUACAAUUUGAAAUCCCCUUCUUACAAAACACUCUCAAAAAGGGAGGAGAAACCCUAUAUUUUGUCUUCAAGUUAGAGAUUUUUAGAAAACAUAAUCUUUUGAUUAGGUUGAUGAGACUCGUUAAAACAAGAGAUAUUGAAAUGGAAUCUGUUUAGACUCUACAUAACAGUGUGCUUGAGUUCAAUUGCCAUGUCCAUUUGAAUAGUUGUCACAUAAAUGUUCAGAUCAUUUAUUAUUAGUUAAAGUGGACAUUGUUAAGUUUUUAAGACUGUAAACAAAAAAGACCUACUUUAAACAAAUUGUUCCAAACUAUAGAUCAAAAGAUGUAUUAAACUUAUAAAAAAAAUUAUUUUGGAUAUUUUUCUUUUUUAUAUUAAGUUAAUUAAAAAUAAAUUAUAUUAUGCGGAGGAGGAAAAUUAAAAGUGGCUGCCUUGCAAUCAAUCGCAAUUUUCUGCUUCCUUGCGAAUUACGUUGAUGACGGAGUUGAUGAGUUCAUUCCUUCGGUGUAGUGGCCUUUGGCUCAGUCUUUGGUUUCAUUAUAGUAGAUGUUCAUGUGUUCGAGUUGGAGUUCGAAGUCGCUAAACAAAGAGGAUAAAAAGAAAAGGGAGAUCUACCCCAAAUAUAAAUAGAAAAAAGAUGAAAAGAAAAGAGAGAUAUGAGGUUUGCAAAGUUCGAUAAUGACCAAAAAGCUGGGAAAGGGAGGAGAAAAACUGAAUUCACCAAUCGGAAAGCAAAAUGGUGUUUUGGUUUGGGUUAUUGGUUUGAAUGGUAUUUUGGUUUUUGCCUUUUAAGAAGGAAAAAUGGGAGGAUGUGGUCGAAAUGAUGAAAAAACCCACAACUAUAUGGGAAAUGGGUAUUUUGGGAGAGUAGAAUUGCAAAUUUGAGUUCCAUCACAGAAUCAAUCAUGUUCACAUUAGUAAAAAAGACAAAAAAAUUCUUAUUUCAUCCUUACAUUUAAGUAACAUCGAAGGAUAUAAUAAUUAAUUGAUCAAGUAAAAGGUAAAAGAAAUAAAAACCAACAGUUAUCACUAAUGAAAAAAAACAAAAAAAAGAAAAAACAGGACAGCUGUUUAAGUUUUACAUAUGAGUACAUUAGUAGUUUACCUUCUUUAAAUAGUUAAUAGAUUUUCAUCGUGUCUUUUCGACACCAGGAACUGUCCGUCAAAUAUUUAUAAAAGAAAAGAAACAAAGUUUACAGAAAGCAGAGGUCGUUCCCUCAUUAAUUUCAACGAUACGUGUCUUUGGAGGUUAAGCAGCUUAUAGUCUGUCGUUUGUUAAGUAUUUUGGAGGUUGUUCUUGUCGAGAGCUCUUCUCUGUUUCAGAUAUAAACAUGCAUACACUUAACUUCCAACUAUAGACAUUUUUUACAUUGGAAAUGGAAGUUGAUGCAGCGAUGAUGUCUGUUGGAAUUUUGGUUGCAUUUGUUAUCCUAUUCUUAACGAAAGCACUGAGUUGGGUGUGGUUGGAACCGAAAAGGGCAGAGAGAUUUCUCAGAAGACAAGGCAUAAAGGGAAACUCAUACAAGCUUGUCUUUGGAGACACAAAAGAAUUAACCAUGAUGCUGCAUCAAGCACAUUCUAAACCCAUACACAUCGAUGAUGAUAUUGCAACUCGCCUAGUUCCAUUUCAAAAUCAAUUGGUCAAAGUUUCUGGUAUGCCUUCUAAUAAUACCUUUAAGGGUUAAAUAAGUUAAUUAGAAAAUAACUUGAUGAUUUUUGCAGGUAAGAAUUCGUUUUUCUGGUAUGGUCCUAAGAUUACAGUGAAUAUUAUGGAUCCUGAAGCAAUAAAAGAGGUUCUGAACAUGAUAAAUGACUUUCCUAAACCAAACCUUAAUCCACUAGGCAAGUUCCUGAUAACAGGACUUGUAGAUCUUGAGGGAGACAAAUGGUCAAAGCACAGAAAGAUCAUCAACCCUGCAUUUAAUCUCGUCAAGCUCAAGGUUUUUCUUUUCUUUUUCAUCCUCUGUUCUCUAAUUUUCUUGCUACAAAUUUCUUAUUAUUGUUAUAAUCCUAAAUAUGAGUCUAAAUUCUAUAUUAGAUAGAAAUGAGAAAGUAGAACACCAUAUAAAAUUGAAGAUCCGUUAACUCAUAGCCUUAAGGUUUUUGAUCGAGAAUGAUGUUGAUCGCUUAUGUUUUGGACUCAGAUCUCAUUAAUGUUGUAUCUCCCUAAUGAACCUCUUUCUUCAUAAACCUAAGAAGUGGUAACAGAGUCAAGUUUGGCUCAGUUGAAUACAAUGGUUCAUGUAUCGAAAGUCUUCAUAGCAAAGAGUCAAGUAAGCGUGUACCCUUAAAAAGGAGUACUCAAAUAAGGAGGAGUGUAAAUCCCAAUGUGAAAGGGAGUUACCUUCGGAGGGAAGAUCGUUAUAAUUUCACAUGUGAGUCUAAAUCCUACAUUAAAUAAAAAUGAGAAAAUAUAAGGUUGAAGAUCCAUUAACGCAUAAUCUUAAGGUUUGAGUAGAGAAUGAUGUCAAUGUCUUAUGCUUUGGACUCAGAUCUCAUUGAUGUUGUAUUUCUUCAGUGAAGCUCUUUCUUCAUGAACCCAACAAUUGUUUUAACAUUAUCUGUGAAAUCUAUGAUAUUAAUUUUCAUGGAGUAAUGUUCCAUUGAAUAUUUUUCACUCCAUACCUUCAUCUUUUUAACGUCUGAAAUGUUUUGCAGCUUGUGUUGCCUGCCAUGUAUGAUAGUUGCAACCAGAUGAUGAAGGAAUGGAAGAUGUUAGUGUGCGAAACAGGAUCAUGUGUGGUAGAUGUCUGGCCAUUCUUAAACAACUUGACAGCUGAUGUGAUUUCUCGUACAGCUUUCGGAAGCAACUAUGAAGAAGGAAAAAUAGUAUUUCAACUCUUAAAAGAACAAGCUAAACUUACAUCCAAGGUCUUUCGAUCUAUUUACAUACCAGGGUGGAGGUAUAUUAUUAAAUUACACUUUUUUAUUGUCAACUUUUUAUUCAACAAAGAAAUACACACACAUGAUUGUACUUCAAUAUUUUAACCUUAUAGAUAAUAAUUAAGGUACAACAUAUAUAUCCUUCACAUCACCCAUAUUUGUUCUUUGAGAUAUAUUUCCAUUGGAUAAUAAUACUUUAAUAAUAUUUCUUUUACAAUAUUUUAAUAUUAUCUACGUGUCAUUCUGUGAUUGGUCCAUGUUAGUGUUAAAUUGAUACGCAAAUGAUAUUAAAGUUUUAUCAAAGUAUCAUUAUUCAUUUCAAUUAAUCAAUUAUUAUGUUAGUAAUAUAGUUGGGAGGAAUAUACGAAGAUCACAAGGUUUUGUUCUAAUUUCUUGUAAUUUAUAGAAAUCAGCUAGGAUAAAUAACAUAAAAAGGAGGUGAAUAAGAAAGAUAAAUUAUAAGAAGAUUCAAGUUAAUUAACAUCACCAUAUUCCUUUUCCAAUUAUUAGGUUUCUACCAACUACAUUAAACAAGAGGAUGAAGAAGAUUGACAAUGAAAUUGGAAAUGUACUUCGUGGAAUUAUCCAAAAGCAAGAGGGUAUUAUGAAAACAUGCGAAGCUUCGAAUGAUAACCUAUUAGGGCUACUAUUGGAAUCCAAUCAAAAAGAGAUUGAAGAUCAAGAAGGACUUAAGAAAGAUGUUGGAAUGAACACCAAUGAUGUAAUUAAGGAGUGUAAGUUAUUUUACUUUGCCGGACAAGAAACAACAUCGGUGCUACUAAAUUGGACAAUGGUGUUAUUAAGUAGGUUUCCCAAAUGGCAAACACUAGCAAGGGAAGAGGUCAUUGAAAUUUUUGGCACAAAAGAACCAGACUAUGAUGGAUUAAGUCGUCUUAAAGUUGUAAGUAUCACUUUUCAAAAUAAAUCUCUUAGCUUUUGAAAGAAUGUUAUUAAUGUUAGUUAAUUAUGGUUACUUGUGGCAUUGUCUUAGGUGACAAUGAUUUUGUACGAGGUUUUAAGAUUAUAUCCACCAGUUACUGCUAUUACAAGAAUCCUAAGGAAGAAAGCUAAAGUUGGAAACAUGAGUUUACCAGCAGGAGCACUAGCUACUAUUCCUGUUGUGUUGGUACAUCAUGAUUUUGAAUUAUGGGGAAGUGAUGCAAAAGAGUUCAAACCAGAAAGAUUCUCAGAAGGAAUCUCAAAAGCAACAAAUGGUAAAGUUUCAUUUAUCCCAUUUGGAUGGGGUCCUCGAAUAUGCAUUGGCCAAAACUUUGCUUUGCUUGAAGCCAAAAUGGCUUUGUCUCUCAUUCUGCAAAACUUCAAGUUUGAGCUAUCUUCCUCCUAUGUUCAUGCUCCGAUUGUAGUCAUAACUGCUCAACCUCAAUUCGGCACACACCUUAUAUUACAAAAAUUAUAGUUUGUUAGCCUAAGAAAAGGUUUUUAAUGCUUUUCUAUAUAUCUUAUGUUGCCUGGCUUCUUCCUAGCUAGAAUUUUCUCUAGGACAAGUGACUUGCACAAAAUAAUAUCUUAUUGUAAAAUUCUGUGAAAUGUUUCUUCAUAUAUUUCUCUUUAUUAUAUUUUUUAUUACAAAUUAUAUAGGAUGGUUUUUCCCUAGUUAUAUUAAAUGUCAAAUAUUUAAAAUUAAUUUUUUGAGUAAAACUUUGUUCAUGUACAAUAUAAAUACGAAUUUAAAAGCAUCAAUAAUAUAAGCUUGUUUUACUUGUUAUAGUUAUACAGAUAAGACUUUUACAAAGAGGAAAUGAAAUGAGGUUCUUUGAUCAAUUUAGAAAACUUUCCUCUAUAAUAUAGUCUCAUAAAGAAAAUAAAAGGUUAUUAUUUAAUAUUUAAACCAUUAUAAUUUUUUUCAUGAUAUUUAAUAAUAAAGAUAGAAAAAUAUAUUUUAAACAUUAAAUACUUAUUAAUAUUAACAUAUGUGCAUGUAAAGAUAUCUCUAUUUUAUCAUGGAAUUCACAUACAAAAUAAGAUUGAAUUUUUUUUUCAGAAAUAAAAAAUAUAAUAAGAUUAAAUACGUUUUUUCACUUAAGUAGAAGAUAAAAUUGAAACUGAUAUUUAUUCAAAACUUUAAUUUUGUUUGGUCUUUAUUUUAGAAAGCAAGAGAUAGAAAACGGGUAGUAGUCAAGGUAUAAUUUUUUAUUUUAAGAGAAAAAAAAAAAUUAGAAAUAGUAUUGCCUCAUGGUCCAUGAAAUGAUGGCUUCAAUGUUUAGUUUCCCCAACAAAACAAUACCAUUUAUUACAACCUGCCCACGUUGUAAUAAUCAUAAAAAAAGCACGACCUUAGCACUUCCAAAGAAGGAUUCUUGUAAAAAAUUAAUGCAUCAGAUGUCAAGAAAAAUAAUAUGAAAUAACAGCUAAUUUCAAGAACUAAGCUAUAAAUAAAUUAAGAUCCACUUUUAGACCAUGGUAUCAGACUAUGACAAAUUAAAUUAACGCGAGUUGUAUUCAGAGAAAAUCCAAAAACGUUUACAGUGAUAUUAUACUACGGGCUUCCUCAGUAGAGAAAAGAUAAAAGCUAAUCUAAAGUUCUUCCUUACUGUGUUAAACAACCUACAAGCAGUACUCAAUACACAGCAAAACUGCAGGUGGGGAAGGAGAAUUGCAUCACCAACAGUAAAUGCUAAGCAGAAAUUAGAAACCAAAGAAGCCAAGCUCACUAGCUUUCUCCUUCUCAAAUGUCUCGAAGUACUGAUAUAUGAUUGUCACUGCAAGCAAUAUUCCAGUCCCUGAACCAAUUGCCCCCAUGAAAUCUG
rnacentral:lncRNA from 1 species